rnacentral:rRNA from 1 species
AUUGAACGCUGGCGGCAGGCCUAACACAUGCAAGUCGAGCGGAGCGGCGGACGGGUGGGUGAUACAUAGGUAGCUGCCUGCUAGUGGGGGAGAACGAUCGGAAACAGACGCUAAUACAGCAUGCUAGCAGUCGGGCCUGGGCGGGAUUAGCUAGUGGGUGGGGUAAUGGCUCACCCAGGCUACGAACCGUAGCUGGUCUGAGAGGAUGAUCAGUCACACUGGAACUGAGACACGGUCCAGACUCCUACGGGAGGCAGCAGUGGGGAAUAUUGGACAAUGGGCGAAAGCCUGAUGCAGCCAUGCCGCGUGUGUGAAGAAGGUCUUCGGAUUGUAAAGUACUUUAAGUUGGGAGGCGUUACCGGCAGAAUAAGCACCGGCUAACUCUGUGCCAGCAGCCGCGGUAAUUC